GGAACAGAUCGGACGCUGCAGUCGGGCUAGAUCGAACGGUGAGUCAUCAUAAAACUUUCUCUUCUGCGAAGAUUUCGUCGAUACCCCGUGGAUAUCGUCCUUCUAGCGCUCCCGUUCCAUAAUUGUAGGAUUACCACUACUACUCUAUUUAGCAGAUCCCUUUCCUCCUCGUCCUCCUCCAUCCCAUUCGGCCUCCACCUCGCGAAGCAUCACGACGCCGCCGCCGACGUUCCUCUGCAUCGUGCAGUUAAAUCCCUAGCUAGUUCCCUGCUACCCACGUCAGGCGACCAAGCAGUGAGACUACAGUUUACCGGAGAGGUCAGCGGCGUCGCGACUCGUGCGAGACCUUCUGGCCGGCGUACCUAUCAAUGGCGGGAGUCGGGAGAGGUCUUAUAUGGCAGAUCUACGUCCAGCCAGAGGACGGAUGGACUCCGGCAGAGUUGGAACUUGGAACUGCGCGUGAGCGGAAUAUCUUAAAAAUUUGGUGAGAUUGUAGGACGAGGAACUCACUACUGUGUUGCUCAACAAUCUAUGAUGGUUCAGUACUGUGAUGAUCCAGAUGGAGGCGAGGUCGACUUUGCUCCUUGAUAGUAAAUGUUUUAUUGUGUUAGUUCUAUUAUAUAUGCAUUAAUUAGACUACAAAUGGCUCCAUUAAGAGCAUUGCUUUUAAUGAAAAAUAUUAUCUUCACGCCGUCGCAGUGGUUCCUUUUUUUUCAUGUCAUCCUGGUCAGAGUUUUUCAUCAAUCUUCGGUCUAGCCCUUGGCAGUGGAAGUUGUCUCGACGGCGACCUACGUGGCUUGGCACCUAUGGAAAGAGAGGAACCUGCGGAUUUUCCAGAAGGAGAACUCCACGGUUGAUGAAAUUUUGGACGAGGAGCUUGCCGAUGUCUAUGGCAGUCGAUCUAGAUGGCGGCCAGGUCAAGUUUGUUCUUUUGAGAGUAAGUGUUAUAUAUUGCUUUCAUUUUAUUGUAUAUGCAUUAAUUAGAUCACAAAUGGCUCCAUUCAAACAGAAAAGACUCUUUCACGAUCGCUCGUUCCAAGCUCCUUCCGUCCCCAAUCAGUUUCUGAUCUGGAUGUGUCCCUUUCCAUAUCAACAACGCUGGCCCCACCUACUCCUUUGACAUGAAAGCAGCCCA